AACGAACGCUGGCGGCAUGCCUAACACAUGCAAGUCGAACGAGACCUUCGGGUCUAGUGGCGCACGGGUGCGUAACGCGUGGGAACCUGCCCUUAGGUUUGGAAUAACUCCCCGAAAGGGGUGCUAAUACCGGAUAAUGUCUUCGGACCAAAGAUUUAUCGCCUUUGGAUGGGCCCGCGUUGGAUUAGCUAGUUGGUAGGGUAAAAGCCUACCAAGGCGACGAUCCAUAGCUGGUCUGAGAGGAUGAUCAGCGACACUGGGACUGAGACACGGCCCAGACUCCUACGGGAGGGAGGAGUGGGGAAUAUUGGACAAUGGGCGAAAGCCUGAUCCAGCAAUGCCGCGUAAGUGAUGAAGGCCGUAGGGUUGUAAAGCUCUUUUACCCGGGAUGAUAAUGACAGUACCGGGAGAAUAAGCGCCGGCUAACUCCGUG
rnacentral:rRNA from 1 species